rnacentral:ncRNA from 2 species
ACUUCUAAAACCAAUAUAGGUCGCCGACUACGGUCGGGGAUAAUAGGGAACCGUGUGAAAAUCACGGGCUGUCGCGCAACUGUGAGUGACCUAAAAGUUCUUGCCCUUGGUUGUCCACUGUUCUGAUUGUUUUCAGGAUGGGAAGGACGGCAAGAAUGUCAUGAGCCAGGAGACCUGCCUGUAUUGACCUGUUCAU